GCUGCAUUAAGAAAAGAAAGGAAAAAGAUGUUAGAACAUUUUUAAGGAAAUUGAAAUAAUUCUCACAAUCAAUAUUGGACUAUAAACAAUAAAUUAUUACCAAUACAAUAACAUGCAAACAGACCUGUCAACCACCUAAAUAAUAGAUACUAUGCGGUAGGUUACCGGUUUUAAGGUAUACCGAGGUUUUAAACAGUCAAGGUUACAAAACCACUAAAAUGGUCUGUGAUACCGUCUCCAAGGUAUGAACUGUAUUUAUACAAAAUUCAUUAAAUCAUUAAGUCAUGUGAUUGAUUUGAUGUUUACAUGUUAUAUACAUUUUGAAAAUAUUAUAUAUAAUAUAAUUUAAAGGCUUUAUUUUUACCUGGCAUUUAAAAAUAACAAAUUUUAGUGUAGCAAUGGCAAUACAGCAAAACUGUAAAACCGUGGUAUUUUUGCUAAAGGUAAUCAUACCGCCAGAAUCUUAUACCGGCCCAUGCCUACUAAGCGGUUGUACCAAGUGUUAGAAACAUCAAGAUUCUCAAAUUUUUAGGGCUAGCGCAAUACCACAGUUUUGGCUAUUCUUCAUGUUCUCUAGGGCAGUUAUUUUGCACCAGUGACAGAAACAGUGACCAAAUAAUUCAUUACCUUAUCUACAUGUGAAGGAAGAUUUUUGGCCUGCACUUUCACAGCUGAUAUUAUAAAAAUCAGCUUAUGACAUUAACAUGUUUCAAGCGUUUUAAUUUACUUUUAUUUGUGAAGUUUAUCUAUCACAUGUGGAGACAUACGCACAUACGAAACGGCAAAAAGACGCUAAAAUCUGGGUUAAGAGCAAAAAACUACCUGCGCCAAUCAGUUUUUGCCAUUUAUGGGCUUUACCCUAUAAAAGAAAACCGUUUUAUGCAUUUAAAUGACCUUACACGUUAUCAGUUUAUUAAGCGUUUAGACUAUGUAGACACAAUGUGCACUAAGAUAAAAAAAUUGGUUAACACGACCACUCGUGGUGGCUUCACUCAGAGGUUGGAGAAGACAACCGGUGGACUAAACAUCAAGCCUCUGCACGAUUCAGGUAAGUGGAAUAAAAUACAUUGUAAAUAAACAUUAUUAAAACAGAUUGUAAAGUCAUUCAUUCAAAACUUGCUAUGACCUAAGCCUAAAUGACUUAAUUUCUUUUUAGAAUUAAGACAACCUUAGCAGGAGAGCCCCAGCAGUAACUUUCUCUCAAGCAGAUGAACAAUAAGUUGCUUUGUAUGAACACCACCCUAACAAUCAAGUUUUCUACAGUAGUCUGUUAACAGUAGACCAAAGGUAUGAUGAUCAAUUUUAAAUGCAAUAUGGUUGAAAGGUCAGUAAACAAACAACAAAAAGCUUGACAAAAAUGUAGCUUGAAGGAGAAGGGACAGCUGAGAAACAAAGUCCUGGUACGCAGACGACAAUACUAUAACACUGACAAGAGUAUAAUGAUGAUGGAGACGGAGACACAAGCCAGAGAAAGGGUGGACCAAACACCAGGCCAGAAUUCUGCAUGAGUCAGAUCCAGUGGGUGCAGAUCAUCAUACAGAUGGUUCAAGUGUGGAUCCACCUAAUAUUCAAGGUUUUCUGUCCUGGGACACUCGGCUAACCAUCAAGAAAGAACACACUCCAGUGGGCAUCCUUUAUCCAUCCAGACCCUCAUACAGAUGGUUGGAGUUUUGAUUCUCCUAAAGUACCAUGCAAGAGCACUCAUUUUCCCUCUUGAGACCAUGGUGUGACCUGCAAGGUCGAAUGGAGACUGUAAACGAGACAAUCUUGGAGUCACCUGCAUUCACUGGUCCAGUUAGUCCAAUUACAGAUGGAGAUUAUAGAAGAGGAUGAUGUCUUUUCUCCAACAUCUUUCUAGACUGAUAAAAGAUCUAGACAGGCUUGAACAAAAGUUAACAGAGGGGCUUAUAUAGAGAAUGGUGAGCAGCUACACAUAAAAGAAGAACAUGGAGAAUCUGCCCAGAGGUGUUAACCAGCAAUGCAGCUAUACAACUAAAUUGAUGCAGGCGGAAACAAUGUGUAAUGCAGCUGCUGCAGAAGAAGAAUCCGUCCGUCUACCACUGAAGGAGACGCGGAAAUUCCUUCCAAGAUGUUCUUUGCCCGAGGAAGCAUUUGAUUAAUUUAAAGAUAUUGUGUUUCUUUGUAUGUUAUAGAAAAACGUUGCUUUUUUGCAUACACUCGUGUAAAUAUGCAUGUUAUGAAUGUUUUUCUUUUGUCUAAUUUAAAUAAAUUUUACGCAAUCAACUGCCUGUUUUAUUGAAAA